ACAUUUCCCUCAACAUCAUCAGCUCUUGGAGCUCUCUUGGAGUUCAUCUUCUUCAUCGGAUUUGUUAAGUUUUCUGGGAGGCUUUGCAGGAUAUCAUUCUCAUUAUCCUCAUGGUUUGUGCUGUUGUCUCCAUUAGUGUGGGAUUUGCCACGGAAGGCUGGCCAAAAGGAACGUACGAUGGACUAGGUGUUCUGCUUAGUAUAUUCUUGGUAGUCGUUGUUGCUGCAAUUAGUGAUUAUAGGCAGUCGUUGCAGUUCAGGGAUUUGGAUAAGGAGAAGAAAAAUAUACUUAUCCAGGUAACAAGAGAUGGAUUUGUUGCGGUUCCAGAAGGACUGCCUCUGGCAGUGACAUUGAGUCUUGCGUUUGCAAUGAAAAAGUUAAUAGAUAACAAGGCAUUGGUGAGACAUCUUUCCUCAUGUGAGACGAUGGGAUCAGCUACUUGCAUCUGCACAGAUAAGACAUGAACACUAACAACAAACCGAAUGGUGGUUAACAAGAUAUGGAUUUGUGAAAAACGAAAAAGGUAGAAACUGAUGCAGGUCGGGAUGCAAUAACUUUGAAUAUACGUGAAAAUGAAAUGACAUUGCUUCUGCAGGCAAUAUUUCACAAUACGGUAGCAGAGGUUGUUAAGGAUAAGGGCGAAAAGAAAUCUAUUCUCGGUACACCAACAGAAUCAGCAAUAUUAGAAUAUGGAUUGCUUCUUGGUGGUGAUAUUGGCAAGCAAAGAAGGGGAUGUAAACUGCUGAAGGUUGAGCCUUUCAAUUCGGAAAAGAAAAAGAUGUCUGUGCUUAUUGCGCUCCCAGAUGGAAACAGCCGACCUUUCUGCAAGGGUGCAGCCGAGAUAAUCUUUAAAAUGUGUGGUGUAAAUGAAUGGUUCCUGAAAUGCUCGAAUCUUGAAUGUAGGUGAUCGCUCGAGCAUCACCAAUGGACAAGCUUGUGUUGGCUACAGAACCACCACAUGAAGAACUAAUAAACAGACCUCCUGUUGGAAGGGAAGUGAGUUUGAUUUCCAAGACGAUGUGGAGAAAUAUAAUCGGACAAAGUAUCUUCCAACUAGCUAUACUUUUAGUUUUCAACUUCACUGGAAAGCAGAUUCUGAGGCUUGAAGGCAGAUGCUACCAUAGUUCUCAAUAGUUUCAUUUUCAACACAUUUGUUUUAUAUCAGGUUUUUAAUGAAAUAAACAGUAGUGACAUGGAGAAGAUAAAUGUGUUCCGUGGCAUUUUUGGAAGCUGGAUAUUCGUCGGUGUCAUAACUUCCACUGUCGUUUUCCAAGUUAUCAUCGUUGAGUUCUUAGGCACGUUGGCAAGCACUACACCGCUCAGCUGGAAACUAUGGCUACUCAGUGUUUUAAUUGGUGCUGCAAGCUUGAUAGUUGCAGUAAUAUUGAAGUUGAAACCUGUUGAACAUAAGAAUAAGCAUCAUGAUGGUUAUAAUCUACUACCAAAUGGUCCAGAACUCGUCUAAGAGAAAGGAAGAUCAAACCAACGCGAUAUGGAAUGGCUUGUUUUUCUAUUCAAAGAUCAGCGCCCUGGCUCUGUGUUUUCACAUCGAGAAGUCAAAAGGACAUACAUAUGGUUUAAUUGGUCAAGGUUUGAGUGCGUGAGAAAAGGAAAAGAAACAACCAAAUACAAAGAAAAUACAAGCUGAAGACUUUAAAUUAAGUCUCGAAAUUGUAUUUUGAUGUAAUGUUAGCAAUCUGCAGGUUACAACUAAUGUAAUGUCAUUGUGUUUUGCUUGUAGAAAAUUGUUAGUAAUCGUGUUAAUAUCUUGAUUGUAAUGGAAAAGCUCUUUGCAAUCUGCAUUUUACCAUUUA